CCUACGGGAGGCAGCAGUGAGGAAUAUUGGUCAAUGGGGGUAACCCUGAAGCAGCAACGCCGCGUGGAGGAUGAAGGUUUUAGGAUUGUAAACUCCUUUUGUUAGAGAAGAUAAGGUAGGUAUCUAACGAAUAAGCACUGGCUAACUCCGUGCCAGCAGCCGCGGUAAUACGGGGGGUGCAAGCGUUACUCGGAAGCACUGGGCGUAAAGAGCGAGUAGGCGGGAUAGCAAGUCAGAUGUGAAAUCCUAUGGCUUAACCAUAGAACUGCAUUUGAAACUGUUAUUCUAGAGUAUGGGAGAGGUAGGUGGAAUGCUUGGUGUAGGGGUAAAAUCCGUAGAGAUCAAGAGGAAUACUCAUUGCGAAGGCGACCUGCUAGAACAUAACUGACGCUGAUGCGCGAAAGCGUGGGGAGCAAACAGGAUUAGAUACCCGGGUAGUC
rnacentral:rRNA from 1 species